UUGCGCCUGCGGAGGAUGCAGCGUCGUCUAUCUUGAAGGCCUUGCAGGCGGCCGGAUGGCGUACCGUCCCGUGAACCGCAAUUUUGCGGAUUCAAAACCACUCC
rnacentral:ncRNA from 1 species